rnacentral:rRNA from 1 species
CCUACGGGUGGCAGCAGUGGGGAAUCUUACGCAAUGGGCGAAAGCCGGACGGAGCAACGCCGCGUGAGAGAAAGAAGGCCAGCGGGGUGUAAAGAUCUGUUGACAGGGACGAAGAAGCAAUGCGAAUAGUUUUGUGUAUGACGGUACCUGUUAAGAAAGCCACGGCUAACUACGGGCCAGCAGCCGCGGUAAUACGUAGGGAGCAAGCGUUGGCCGGAAUGACUGGGCGGAAAGGGCGGGUAGGUGGGCGCGUAAGUCCGGUGUGAAAAGUCCGGGCUCCACCUGGUGACUGCACUUGAAACUGGCUGUCUUGAGGGCAGGAGAGGAAAGUGGAAUUCCUAGUGUAGCGGU